AUUGAACGCUGGCGGCAGGCCUAACACAUGCAAGUCGAACGAGUGGCGGACGGGUGAGUAAUGUCUGGGAAACUGCCCGAUGGAGGGGGAUAACUACUGGAAACGGUAGCUAAUACCGCAUACCAUCGGAUGUGCCCAGAUGGGAUUAGCUAGUAGGUGGGGUACGGGCUCCCCUAGGCGACGAUCCCUAGCUGGUCUGAGAGGAUGACCGGGCACGCUGGAACUGGGACACGGACCAGACUCCUACGGGGGGCAGCGGUGGGGAAUAUGGCAAAAUGGGCGCACGCCUGAUGCAGCCAUGCCGCGUGUAUGAAGACGGCCUUCGGGUUGUAAAGUACUUUCAGCGAGGAGGCGUUACUCGCAGAAGAAGCACCGGCUAACUCCGUGCCAGCAGCCGCGGUAAUUC
rnacentral:rRNA from 1 species